CAGUCGGUAGAGCAUCAGACUUUUAAUCUGAGGGUCCAGGGUUCAAGUCCCUGUUCGGGCGAAAUUGCUAUUUGUUGCUGAAUUGAGCUAGCGUUGUAAAAAAUAUCCAGAAAAAUUUGGUCGAGAUUGCUGUUGGUUUCACAGCUAAAUACAGUAUAAUCUGCCUUUUUAUAAAUUAUGUUUGGAUACGAUUAUUAGCUUCGGAUAGAAACGUCUGAAAUAAAUGUAAAACUUUCUGAACGUACUUUUAAAAGCUCCAGCCGAAAAUAGAUGAUAUUCAGAGCGGUUAUUAUUAAACCAUUCCAAGUGAAUGGCUCUUUUUUUCUUCUAAAUUUGAGCUGCUGUGUUCAACACUAUAGGCAGAAGCUAGGGGAAAAACUGCAGUCUUGAUACAACUGCAAUGUUCAUAUGUUUUCAUUAUAUUUCUUUUAAAUGUCUAAACGUUUUGGAGCACUAACAGAAAUAUAAUCAAUAUUCUCAUAGAUGUCCAGGUGCACGGAGUUAGUCCUGAUAUUUAGUAGUUACCACGUGGACAAACACUAUAGUGAACAUGCAACGAAUAUAAAUGAAUGAUAUAUCAGGCUGUGACGUCAUCUGGCGACCCCUAGCGGCUUCUUGAAUGCUGCUUUUCUCUGAACAGAGUUAUCAGCACUGAACACAUCACGGUUUGAUGUUGCUGCUUUGAAACAGACUGUGUCUCUCUUUCACAAUGAGCAAUUUCGGGGAUAAUUUCAGAAACCUGGCAACCCUGGUUAAUAAAAUAACCUGGUUUCGAUCACAGUUAAAGGUGAGAGUAUUCCGUGUACUGUGUCCAGUACAGAGGACACAGCUGAAUAAGCAGACUGAAGAGUUUCUAAUGGGCCAGAACAUGUACUGAUUAUAAAAGCAGUGACUACAGUGGGCCUGUACUCUACCUGUGUAGUACACAUACUCUCUCAUAGCACUCUCAUGGAGCACUAAAGUGCCAGUACUUUCUCCUCCAGCUUCAGCAUCAAACUCGCUUCUUUUCUGUCGGAGCCGAACUAGAACCUGGAUGUUGAUUGGCCAAGGCCACCUACGUUAUGUUCAUUCUGGAUACUGAUUGGCUGACAGGGUUGCGGGGAAGCUGGAGUCUAUCCCAGGGAACUCAGGGCGCAAGGCAGGGGACACCCCAGACAGGGCACCAACCCAUCACAGGGCACAAUCACACACAAUUUAGAGAAGCCAAUCAGCCUACAACAUGUCUUUGGAAUUGGGAGGAAACCAGAGUACCCGGAGGAAACCCCCGAAGCACAGGGAGAACAUGCAAACUCCAUGCACACAGGGUGGAGGCGGGAAUCGAACCCACAGCCCCCAAUGUGCUCUCUAUACAUCUCUGUACAUUUAACAUCUUAAAGAAUGUUUUAAUAUUUGUCAUCCUUUUUCAUAGAUAAAAUAUUACCAAACGCUAGUGGAGUGCUGUGGACCAUAAAUAUGAAUAGGUGAAAUGUGAUUUUCACCAUUGGAGGAAGUGGAGCAUCUGCACCCGCAGGUUUAUUAGAGGCAAAGCAAAAAUACGUUUUUGUUCUCCAACCUUGUAUUUGAAUAAAAAUUUGACUUUCAGUGUAAACUGUAUGAGAAUGAGUUUAACUAAACAUGUACCUUGAUCAACCUCCCCUAAAACAAAACAUCUACUUGUGAAGGAGUGCAUUGUAGAUGUCUCGCCCUUUGCCAUGGGAUUUGAUUCUGCAUGUUGUGUGAGCAACACACAACUAUGGGAGGUGGAACAACUUAUAAGAAUGAGCAGUUUGGCAGUCCAGGGGGUGGAGCUUGAUCUGAUCCAAGUCCUCUGAGAAGCCUAUCCCUAACCCCUAAUCCUAACUCCUAACCCUUAACCCUAACCCACACAAUGCUGUACAAAAUGAAACAACACAAUAAACACCAGCCUAAAAAACUCCACCCCUGGACCUGGGUCGACUCUGACCAGGUAGGAGGAGCUAGAUCAGGUCUGACUCCACCCCAUGGACUUUUUGUUCUGCAGGAGUACUUGACAAAACUUGCGUGACAUAGUGAGCAGUCACUAGUCAUUUACCAUGCACACAAAAUCAUGUGGUCCUGCAAGCACAUAACAAAUGCAAUACAAAGCAUAAUACCAUUUUGACCAUAACAAGACAAAUUUUAUUUAAGAUUAUCAGGAUUUUUUUUUUUCAGGAUGGCGUCUGGGUAGAUACAGAAUAGCUGUAUUCCCCACUGGUUAAGGCAGACAGACGGCAUUAUGCAUCCAACAAACAACCUACCAACAUGGUUAGAACCCAUCAAUCCUUCAAGUCACGUUUUAUAUAGGGAGGUACCAUUCCGUGAGGCACUCAAGUCUUUUGGGAAGUCAAGACUCAUGUAUCUGUGCUGAAAAUAUGAGUUGCAAUAUUGAGAAAGUAGAUCAACAAAGACCUAAAGAACUUUUUGCGUGUCCACUAAAUUAUAAAUAAAUUCUGCUACUAUAUAGGGAAAACAGGCAGAUUUGGUUGCAGGUUUCUUGUCAAUGGAGCUAAUGUUAAGAUACCUAACAACUGGAGCAAGUGAAUGUUUCAACUAACCUAUGAGAAUAACGAUGAACCUUUCAGCUGGCAGUUAAAUUAUUUUCAUUAGCACUGAUACACGGCUGGCUGUAGAAAGCCAGGGUCCUCUUUUUAUUUUAGGGCGUUUAAUAACAAAAUAAGGCUCUGUAAUUUAUUACGUCCACUGUUAUUCAAGAUUAAUUAUUAUUUCCUUACUGGAACCUGAAUCUCCCUUUAGGGAUUAAUAAAGUUGAUCUUAUCUUUAUCUUAUCUUAUAGAAUAUACUAAAGGCCUUGACCCACAAUGCUUGCCAGUAGGCAUGGAUCAUGUCAGCUGCAAGUUGCUGCCCACUUGCUGUUGAAAAGCUCCUGUUUUGAUGGUGACUGUUCUGUCAGACUGAAUUAUUUCAGGUCUCUUGACCAGUGAGCAUGGGUGUUAUGCUACAGUUCUUUCUCUCAUAGCUCUGCUGUUCCUGUAAUGCUGGUUUCAGUUUGUUUUGACAAAACAAUCUUUCCCAGUGGAUAUGUACUGCAAGCUGAUCUUUUCAAAUGUCUGAUUUUCUUAGGCAGUCUCACAUGCAGAACAUCCUAAUGCACAUCUGGUGGUGAGAGAUUGAUGCCCCAGGCUUUUCCCCACCUGCAGAUUACAUAAAACCAUCUCAAUAUGUAUGCAUUAAAAUCUUUAUCUGCUGGAUUAUCUUCAGGCAUUACCUAGCAGCAACCAGAGCAAUGAGAUCUAAUACUGUUGGAACAAAAAUCUUUCAUAUUACGAAUUUAAAGCAAAGGCCUGUAUCAUAUGAUUUUCUUUGAAAAUGUAGCAAGUUUUGUGGUAACAUACUGUAGAGUCCUUUGGUCUAUAUAUCAAAUCCUGUGGCAGUAGUGCAAUGCAUAAAAUAAAGCAGAUACACGUCAAGAGCUUCAGCGCACGUUCACAUCAACCAUCAGAAAGGGAAAACUGUGAUCUUAGUGACUCUGACCAUGGCAUGGUUGUUGGUGCUGGUUUGAGUAUGGCCGGACAGGUUCGAGCUGACAUGAAGGCUACAUUAACUCAAAUAAUCACUCUUUACACCCGUGGUGAGCAGAAAAACAUCUCAGAAAGUACACCACAUCAAACCUUGAGGCAAAUGCUAUACAACAGCAGGAAUCUGGUGCUAACGUGGGCACUAGAACACCAAAACUGGACAGGUGAGGAACGGAAAAAGUCUGGUGACAUUUUUCCAAUCUUAACUCUAAUAGAAACGUGGCAAGCUUGUAGAAUUCAGUGGUAAAAUAAUAUACUUUUCAGUGUGCAGGUCACAUUUUAUUUACUGAAUAAAUUUGGACAAAACACCAAAAUCAGUUACAUUACAAUCAGAGCAUCUGAGGCAGAUAUCCCACCAUGCAUGCCCCCCACCCCUUCAAAAGAAAAGAAAAAAAAAAAAAAAAAAAAAAGUCCUUCACUCAGCACCAACUAAUGUGGGCAAUUCAUUCUACCUGAAAGCAUAUUUAAAAAAAAAAAAAAAAAAAAAAAAAAAAAUAAAAUAAAA